rnacentral:misc_RNA from 1 species
GAUGAAGAACGUAGCGAAAUGCGAUAAGUAGUGUGAAUUGCAGAAUUCAGUGAAUCAUCGAAUCUUUGAACGCACAUUGCGCCCUUUGGUAUUCCAAAGGGCAUGCCUGUUCGAGCGUCAUUUGUACCCUCAAGCUUUGCUUGGGGUUGGGCGUCUUGUCUCUAGCUUUGCUGGAGACUCGCCUUAAAGUAAUUGGCAGCCGGCCUACUGGUUUCGGAGCGCAGCACAAGUCGCACUCUCUAUCAGCAAAGGUCUAGCAUCCAUUAAGCCUUUUUUUCAACUUUUGACCUCGGAUCAGGUAGGGAUACCCGCUGAACUUAAGCAUAUCAAUAAGCGGAGGA